CUGGACAGCUGAGCUGAAGAAGAAACCGAAGAACAUAAUGUAAUUUAGCUAAUUAAGCUACACUGAGGUGAGGCCCCCCCCACAGAGCCACAGCUCCUGAGCCUCACCUGAACACACACAGGUGACACGUGGACACAGGUGAAGACCUCCUCCAAAGCCAGCGGGUGGUACUCGGGCACCCCUCUACCAGCAUGUUAGUGCUGAGGCCCGGCCUCGAUAGUGCCCUCGGGCUGUGGGACCGUCUUCCCAUUGCUGUGAUGCCUCAUGUGAGUGUAGGAUAGGAACCAGUUGUCUAAACAGGGUCGUCCAGUCUGGCGGGGUCGGAAUAUCAGGAUCUCUCACCAUGGGGCAGCUGUCAGGGACACACCCCUGGCGUCAAGACCCCGGAUCUCAUUAAGUGUAGUCGCCAAAGUGUUUUGAUGUCAAACUCAACAAUAUUAAAUGUUUUCUUUGUUUAACCUACUGUGGUCACAAUAGCUGUUCCCUAAAAUAAGCUUUUACAUUUGUUAAGAUGUGUAAAUAAAAGUGGGAGGCCACUGCAUCGUGGACUUAUAGCUGUGUUUAAAGCGAUUAAAUGUAAUUUCAGUGA